GAGGGUAUAGCUCAGUGGUAGAGUGCGUGCUUAGCAUGUGCACAAGGUCUUGGGUUCAAUCCCCAGUACCUCCA
rnacentral:tRNA from 1 species